CCGAAAAUGAUUCCACUAUAUAGAGAUUCAAGCAAUUUAUAUACAUUUAAACCUAGAGAUUGGUGUUUUCUUGUGAAGAGAUUUGCUUUUGUAGCCCUCAUUUAUAGAGUUUGGAAUUCUUUUCGGGCAGGUCAGUAGGUCACGUAAUUUUGAAAACGGGUAUAAAUACUAAAUAUUUUGUCAUAUUAGGUCGCGCAGGACAAACUUAUCUCAACUCGUCGUUUUUGUUUUCCUUACGGAAUAAAGAUAACGUGGCUCCAUUUAUUGCCAACAUCAAGCGAGGUAAGGAGAGGGCAGCAAUCUACUGUGCUCCAAAUUAUGGUCCUUGGUUUGGUAAUAAUGAUUUGAUAAUUUGGAACAAUUCCAAUCAUAAUCAGAAAUCAUACUGCAAUCUUGGUCAAGCAUAUCAACUUCCUCCUGGUUACUUCGAAAACACUGACCAAGCAAAAAACCUCCUUGCUGGUGGCUACACUUUCUCAACAUCAGAAGUUGAAGUAUUCUACUAAGAAUGGCAACUGGUUGCAGUAUUAACAGCAACCCAAUUACCAUUGUGGGUUGAAUAACCCAUCCACCCUCCUAAAUUUCUUGUCGAGUGCAUGUCAGUGACUGGGUAUUACAUGCAGUAGUUUUGUAUAUUUGACCGGUAUGGUAUAUAUACACUGUACUUUAGUAUAUAAAUCGCAGUUUUCUUGUAUUAAUGAUUUGAAAAAAUAUAUAGGUACUGAAAUUUAGACAUAGUUAUUUUUCAUUACCAGGGAAAAAUAUUAAUGGAACAUAUAUUUGUUUUUAUGCUACUCACUUGCACUAUAAAUCAUGCAUGCGGUCUUCUUGAAAGUUUGCAUGCCAAAUAAAAAUAAAAGAAAAACUCGUUAAAUCGAACUUGGUUAUUGUUCUCUCCUUUUGGGU